UGCGUAGGUGGCGGGGUAAGUCUGGUGUGAAGGCUCCGAGCUCAACUCGGAAAAGCAUUGGAAACUAUCCCGCUUGAGGGUCGGAGGGGAGACUGGAAUUCUCGGUGUAGCAGUGAAAUGCGUAGAUAUCGAGAGGAACACCAGUGGCGAAGGCGAGUCUCUGGACGACUCCUGACACUGAGGCACGAAAGCUAGGGGAGCAAACA
rnacentral:rRNA from 1 species